AGACGGAGAGAGCAACAUGGAGCUACAUAGAAAAAUAUGCACCAAGCAAGCCACUUUGAAAUUCUGCUGUUUCCGUGAAUACAAAAGCUCUGUACUUAAAAAAUGUU